AUUGAACGCUGGCGGCAUGCUUUACACAUGCAAGUCGAACGGUAACAGGCCGCAAGGUGCUGACGAGUGGCGAACGGGUGAGUAAUGCAUCGGAACGUGCCCAGUCGUGGGGGAUAACGCAGCGAAAGCUGCGCUAAUACCGCCUACGAUCUCUGGAUGAAAGCGGGGGACCGCAAGGCCUCGCGCGAUUGGAGCGGCCGAUGUCAGAUUAGGUAGUUGGUGGGGUAAAGGCCCACCAAGCCAACGAUCUGUAGCUGGCCUGAGAGGUAGCCCAGGCACACUGGGACUGGGACACGGCCCAGACUCCUAGGGGAGGCAGCAGUGGGGAAUUUUGGACAAUGGGCGCAAGCCUGAUCCAGCAAUGCCGCGUGCAGGAAGAAGGCCUUCGGGUUGUAAACUGCUUUUGUACGGAACGAAACGGUCCGGGCUAAUACCCUGGGCUAAUGACGGUACCGUAAGAAUAAGCACCGGCUAACUACGUGCCAGCCGCCGCCGUAA
rnacentral:rRNA from 1 species